UACAGAGGGUGCAAACGUUGUUCGGAAUCACUGGGCAUAAAGCGCACGUAGGCGGUUCGUCGAGUGCGGAGUGAAAUCCCACGGCUCACCCGUGGAAUUGCUUUGCAUACCGACGGACUCGAGGACGGUAGGGGAAAGCGGAACUCUUGGUGGAGCGGUGAAAUGCGUAGAUAUCAAGAGGAACACCGAAGGCGAAGGCAGCUUUCUGGUCCGUUUCUGACGCUGAGGUGCGAAAGCCAGGGUAGCGAACGGG
rnacentral:misc_RNA from 1 species